GGGGGGGGAGGAGGCGGCUGAUGGCACGCGAGAGCGGUGGCCUGCCGGAGACCCGUCCACCCGAGUGUGCCCUGUAGGCGCAGGUCAGCAACGGGGGCUCCUUGUGCCCUUGUCCCUUCUGAGAAACGGGAACAUUCCAUUGCCCUGGGGAGCAAUGAGAGGGGGGAGGGAAAGACGGGGGGGUGACAGGGAGGAGACCCGGCUUCUCCACACUCCCCCCCACUCUCCCCUCCCUGGAGUGCUGACCUGUGGACCACUCCCUGCAAGGGCAUCGGACCAGGAAGGGCAGGAGGGGGCACUCACGGGGCCUGCCCUACGCCCGCCUUGCUGCGCCCACAGAUGUGAGUUCCUCUCCCCCUCCCAGGCCCCCCCCCUCAUUUUGCAGAGAAGGCAACUGAGGCACAGAGAUGUUGUACGCUUGGCUCGUGCUCACACAGCUAGUAAGUGGCCGGGCCGGGGCCCCUCUAUUUUCCAUGACCCCGGGCGCUGUCUCUGUGUCUGUCUGUCUCUCUCCCCUCUCUCUCCCUCUCUCUCUCCGAGCAUGGAGGCGGGGGCAGGGUGGUCAGGGGGAGGGGACACGUCACCCAGUCCACUCAGUUCCAAGGUCGGUUGGGAGCCGUGCCUGCCACCAGGAGAGGAGGACACAAAUGACAGAGGGGGACCACACAGCAGCCACGUCGCCUCCCUCCCGCACCCCACACCACCUGGUGAAGGGUCAUGCGCGUAAUAGCAGCAGGCCUCUCUCGGCCCCGCCUCUGCCCGCUGGAGAAGAAGACUGUGACAGGUGUCUUCUCCAGGGAGUGGGGCUGAGUGUGGGAGGGGGUCUUGGUGGGCAGGGACUCGGGCAGUGGGUGCCACGGCCCCUGACUUAGAGCCGCACACCUCUACGCCUGGGCUAGGACAUACGUGCGUCCCCAACCCAUUGGCUGCGGGCGGAAAGGCUUCCGUGGGGCCACCGGGCUCUGAGAGAAAGAACGCGACCCUUCCCUGCCAGGCAGGUGCAGCGUGCCAGGGGAGGGGCUGGAGCCGGGCAGGUCAGCAGGGCGGGCUGCUGACACCAACAUGUGAGUGGACACAGGACCGAGAUAUUUGUGUCACAUCACAGCACCCGCCGCGUGGCUCUCUGCUCAGAGCCCCUCGGGUAGAAUAUGUGGCUACUGGGCACGUCUGACAUCCACUUCCAACGUGAGCCCCAACUCUGACGUGCUCGUUAGAACAAAACCCAGGUACGUGCUGCUGACAUUCGGCACCGUUUGCUGAACCCAGGACUGAUACGCGGCUUUCACCUAUGUUAGCGUUUCUGAGCCAGUGUUUUAACUGUUUUAAAUGUGUAUUUAUUUGUGAGCGGCGGGGGAGGGGCAGAGAGAGCGGGAGACACAGAACGGGAAGCGGGCUCCAGGCUCCGAGCCGUCAGCACAGAGCCCGACGCGGGGCUCAAACCCACAGACCACGAGAUCAUGACCUGAGCGGAAGUCGGACACUCUUACAUAGUAUAUAAUUAUACUAUGUUUAUGUUUUUAAAAACAUUUUUAAUGUUUAUUUAUUUUUGAGAGAGAGAGAGAGAGAGAGAGAGUCAGAGCAUGAGCAGGGGAGGGACAGAGAGAGGGGGAGACACAGAAUCCGAAGCAGGCUCCAGGCUCUGAGCUGUCAGCACAGAGCCCGACGUGAAGCUUGAACUCACGAACCGCAAAAUCAUGACCUGAGCCAAUGUUGGACGUCUAACCAACUGAGCCACCCAGGUGCCCCAAAGCAGUUUUUUUUUUUUAAAUCAGGAGAUCCACAUACAAAUCAGAAGGUCUGGCUUUCCCGGGUGCCUAUUCUCUGUUGGUUCCACAGGCUGGCACUGAGCAGGGCGCCCCCUCCAGGCAGGGCCGGGCUCUCCCAGAGGAGCUCGAACUGCCCUGCCUACUUCUGUCAUUCCCACUGCCCGCCUGGCCACGCGAGCCCCAGGGCUUGGGACCUGGUUCUGGCACAUCCCCGUGGCCCCCAGAAUAUGUUCCUUUGGGUCCUGGCCCAAAUCUGUGCAAUUUCUGGACUCAGGAAAGGAUGGAUACAACCUGCUAUAAGUGAGGCAGUCUUACCCUGGGUCCUUCCGUUGCUGCCAAUCUGCAGAUGACAGAUGACACGUUUCUCCAAGGACACCCAGACUGGACACGUAGAGCCUGUCAUGACGGCACUGGAGUCCUCGUCACCUGCUCCUGAGCUGCCAGGGAAGCCUCUCGGUCUGUCCGCCAUGCCCAGAGUCAGGCCAGGUGACCCCGGGGCCUCAGAGCCUCCCUGGUGUCCCUCCCUGGUGGUUGCCGUGGGAACCAGAGCUGGGGCUGGGCAGGGUCUUUGCUCUUCACACCUUGCGUCUCCUUUCUCAGUUCUUGCUCAAGGAAUGUUUGCAGAGCACCUGUAACGUGCCAGGCCCCAUAUGAGAUACGAAAGGACGCUAAGCAUCAGUCCCUUGCCUUAAAAAACUCAUAGUUCAGGGAGGAGUCAAAGUCAGACCACAGGUGACCCUACAUCCUGGCUGGCUUUACAAUUCAAGGUCAGGGAGAGGCCCAGGCUAACGCUACAGGUUGAGGAACGCAAGUGGAGUGAAAUCAGGAAGGUUCGUGGGGAAUACGGCUUUUGAGUUGGACCUUGAAACGUUUCCCUGGGGGGAGGGGGGUCAGAGAGGGUGUUCUGGGCAGGGGUGUGGUGGGCGAAGGGAGCAGGGGCAAAGGUGUGGAGGCGGGCAAGUACAGGGCACGGAAGGGAGCCCAUCCAGACGCAGGAGCAGACUCAAAGGAGCUGAUGUGCAGGACAUUCCUUCGGCCACGAUCAAAGAAAUCUGGGGAAGACCGGGCUGAUUUCCAAGAAUGCAUAGAGAACACGGAAUUUUCCAAGUUGAUUUGUUCGCAGGCCCUUGCUCCACCCGCCCCCUUUUUAUUUGCAGCCGGCGGAGCAGCCGUGGGUCUGGGGAGGGGGGUGACAGCGGAGGAGAUGGGAACAGCCUGGAACGGAGGCAAAGCCAGGUCAUGCAGAGUCUCCGGUGCCCAGCAGCGGCUUUACUGCGAGGGUACUGGGCACGUGAGAAGGUUCUAGGCAGAAGGCUAGCAGCUUCUUAGGAGCCAAGGUUCUGGAGGUGAGCUGCAAUCAAACCUUAGCUUUGCUCUGUGCCGAUUACGCAGCCUUGGUCAGGUGACCACUCGAACUCCCCGCACCUUUGUCUGAAAACGGGGCUAAUGACAGUGCUCCAUUCAGGCGUGGUAAUGAGUAAAUGAGAGACGACGCUAUACAAGGUGCUACAGAGCGCCAGAUGCGGUAAGUGCUCAAUAAAUAUUAGCUAUUGCUAAUUUUAAUAUCAAUGAGGUUUUAUACUAUUGGCGAUCAAAGUCCAUUUGGACUUAUAUUACAGAACUUUCGAACGCAAGUUUAUCACUUUGGGGUGCGUACAGUGACCCCUAUUUGGCUACUACAAUAUUAGCAAGAAAGUCUUUGGGGGACUGGUCUUAGCCCACUCGGGCUGUUGUGACAGUAUCCCGUAGCCUGAAUGGCUUAUAAAUAACAGAAAUAUAUUUCUCUCAGUUCUGGAGGUCCAAGCUCGAGGCACCAGCAGAUUCAGUGUCUGGUGAGGGCCUGCCUGCCUCUGGUUCAUGGACCGGUGCUUUCUAGCUUCAACCACCAGUGGGGGAAGGGCCAGGGAUCUUUCCUGCCUCCUUUAUAACAAGGGCACUAAUCUCAUUCACAAGGGCUCCCCUAACGACCGAAUCAUCUCCCAAAGGCCCCACCUCCUAAUCCCACCAUCGCGGGCCUUAAGAUGCAGUUUAUAAAUUUGGUCGGGGGGACGCAAACAUUCCAGUCCAUAGCUGGGGCCCAUGUUAAUCACCGGAUAAUAAUGAUUUGUAAUUAAUGGCUUGUAUUUCAGAAUUUGCUUCUAAGUGUUUAAAAGUGUUUCUCCUGUCACAUAGUCCCAACGAACCAUUAGACUAUGGACCCUGAUGCUUAACUUGCCGAGCACGUCUCUUUACUGAGUAGCAAGGCCAAGGUCUAGGUCUGGCUCAGAGCCAUUGCCAGCCAAGAAUGAAAGAUAGCAGAGGGGCUGAGGCCGGGUCAGACCACUGAGAGUACCGUGCAGAGAAAUGGGCAGACACAGCCAGGGGAACCCCAAGGUCCUCUCCCCGGCAGGAGGCAGGGGCAAAGCUCAUGGCUCUAUGCCCUGAGUGACGAGAGCACAGGGACCUGGCGUCACCCACCAGCCAAGCCUCCAGCCACCUGCUCCUGGUGACCUGGGGUCUGCUAUGGCAGGUUCCUCGGCUAAUCGUCCACCAGACACAUUGUCGUCUUCCUCCCGAGUAGUGGGAUUGUAGGUGGGCACCCAGCCGCCCAGCUAGACUACACUUCCUGGCCUUUUUUGCAGUUGGCAGAGUUCUUGCCUUGCACUUUAUGUCAGCAAAAGUGGUGCGUGCUCCAUCUGAGACGGAGCCUCUGAGACAGCGGGCACGUUUCCUCCUCGAUCUCUUGUCACCUCCCUUCCGUCUACAAACAGGACAUGGCUGAGACCCAGCUUCACCCCGUAGACGUUUACAACACCCGAGGGAAUGGUGGAGAAACGAGAUGGGAAGAACCUGAGUCACCAAACGACUGAGUGACAGGAUCCACUCACCCAAAGGUGUCAGCGGUGAGCUGAGGGGGGAACAGAAUUUGUUCAAGACACACAGCUCUAAAGAAUGGAAACAGCCUGCCAUCCAUCAUAACCAGGGAGACCGGUUAAAUAAAGGUAGGGCUCUUUAAACAGACCACCGUGCAGCCAUAUAAAAGAACAAAGAAACUCAGCUUGAGUGAAUGAACUGUCUCCAAGAUACAUCACAAAAAAGCAAGGUGCAGACCGUGGACAUUGUAUCUGACCAUUUGUAUUAAACUGGGUGAAAUAUAGGAGUAUAAAUACAUAUUUUUUUUUUCUCGAAUACAAAUAAACUCUCUUGGAAGCACACAAGAGCCCGGAGAACACGGGCUGCCUCCAGGAAGGAGGGCAGGAGGGAGACUUUUCUCCCUCUAUCCUUUUGUGGUUUUGGGGUUUCAAUCAUGAGAAUGAAUUAGCUAUGAAACAAUUCAUAAUUAUCAUUGAAUAAAGAAUACAUUCCGGCUUAAAGAUUAACCAGCGGUAACACAAAAUGUUACGUCUGGAGAGCCACUAUCAAGGAGGCUUUGGUCCAGUCUGAUGGGUCCCCUCCCCCGACCCCUCCCCCUCGCGCCCCCACCCCUGCCCCAGCAGGGCGCUGGGGGCCCUCUGGCUUUCUGCCUUCCUGCCCUGGAAACCCAGAUGUAAAGCAGCACCAUGAUGGCAGUUGUGGGUUUCUACAGUUUUGAUCGCUGCUAUUAAAAUUGAUUUUUUUUCCUUGAAAUCACCUAAUACACAGAAAAUUUAUGGUCAGUUCCACGGCGGCAGAUAGCCUAAAUCAACCCACUCCGAGGUCAGAAUCCCAAGCUGAAAAGUUUCCACUGAAAACAGCUCACAUGUCACCUGGCGGGGGACAGUGGCCCUUGUGCCCGUGGAGGCCCAGAGCCUGGUGAAUCAGCCACUGCUGGGGAGUGACAGCCAGCAGGAGCCUCCAGAAUUCUGUGCAUGGUGGCCCCUGUCGGACCAGCCACGGGCCUUGCUGCCCAGUCCAGCCAAGGUGAGGCACAAGACAGGAGAGAGAAACGCAAGCCAUGAUUUGCAGGACCUGGUGCUAAAGGCUUAAAAGUUAUUGGGCAUUUCAGGAGGGCAAUAGUGGAGAAUAGCCAAGCAGGAGGCCCUUCUGAGCACGAGGCCUGUGAGACACACGGAUCUCAUGCCCCCGAAGCGGGUCCUGCAACCGCUCUCCCGGGGGGCAACCCAGACCAGGCUUGGCGAGAUUACAAGAGACACCUA